rnacentral:rRNA from 1 species
GGAAUAUUGGUCAAUGGGCGAGAGCCUGAACCAGCCAAGUAGCGUGCAGGAAGACGGCCCUAUGGGUUGUAAACUGCUUUUAUGCGGGGAUAAAGUUCAGCACGUGUGCUGUUUUGUAGGUACCGCAUGAAUAAGGACCGGCUAAUUCCGUGCCAGCAGCCGCGGUAAUACGGAAGGUCCGGGCGUUAUCCGGAUUUAUUGGGUUUAAAGGGAGCGCAGACGGGCUGUUAAGCGUGACGUGAAAUCCGGGGGCUCAACCUUCGGCUGCGUCGCGAACUGGCGGCCUUGAGUGGACGGUAGGCAGGCGGAAUUCGUGGUGUAGCGGUGAAAUGCUUAGAUAUCACGAAGAACCCCGAUUGCGAAGGCAGCUUGCCGCAGUCUUACUGACGUUCAUGCUCGAAGGUGCGGGUAUCGAACA